rnacentral:misc_RNA from 1 species
UACAGAGGGUGCAAGCGCUAAUCGGAAUUACUGGGCGUAAAGCGCGCGGAGGCGGUGGGUUAAGUCGGAUGUGAAAGCCCCGGGCUCAACCUGGGAACUGCAUCCAAAACUGGGCGACUAGAGUACAGUAGAGAGUGGUGGAAUUUCCUGUGUAGCGGUGAAAUGCGUAGAGAUGGGAAGGAACACCAGUGGCGAAGGCGACCACCUGGACUGAUACUGACGCUGAGGUGCGAAAGCGUGGGGAGCAAACAGG